rnacentral:rRNA from 1 species
AUUGAACGCUGGCGGCAGGCUUAACACAUGCAAGUCGAGCGGGGUGAUGGUGCUUGCACUAUCACUUAGCGGCGGACGGGUGAGUAAUGCUUAGGAAUCUGCCUAUUAGUGGGGGACAACAUCUCGAAAGGGAUGCUAAUACCGCAUACGUCCUACGGGAGAAAGCAGUGGAUCACUUGUGACCUUGCGCUAAUAGAUGAGCCUAAGUCGGAUUAGCUAGUUGGUGGGGAAAAGGCCUACCAAGGCGACGAUCUGUAGCGGGUCUGAGAGGAUGACCCGCCACACUGCGACUGGGACACGGCCCAGAUUCCGACGGGAGGCAGGAGUGGGGAAUAUUGGACAAUGGGGGGACCCCUGAUCCAGCCAUGCCGCGUGUGUGAAGAAGGCCUUAUGGUUGUAAAGCACGUUAAGCGAGGAGGAGGCUCUUUUGGUUAAUACCCAAGAUGAGUGGACGUUACUCGCAGCGUAAGCACCGGCUAACUCUCUGCCAGCCGCCGCCGUAA